UUCAGUGUAUUAGGAAAGAGAUUGAGAAGGCAACAUGUGGUAAAGUUAAGAUCCAGAAAGCAUCCAAGUUUGAUGUUGGUAAACUGAUGGAUGUGCAAUGGAGUGAUUUUAACUUGUUUUAAUUUCCUAAGUGGGUUGUUGUUUUUAAUGUGCUUUCCUUUUUUACAAGAAUCUAUAAUUUGGAACAAUUUAGAGGUUCAAUUA
rnacentral:lncRNA from 1 species